GGACCUACGGGACGCAGCAGUGAGGAAUAUUGGUCAAUGGCCGGAAGGCUGAACCAGCCAAGUCGCAUGAGGGACGACUGCCCUAUGGGUUGUAAACCUCUUUUAUAAGGGAAGAAUAAAUGCUACGUGUAGCAUGAUGCCUGUACCUUAUGAAUAAGCAUCGGCUAACUCCGUGCCAGCAGCCGCGGUAAUACGGAGGAUGCGCGCGUUAUCCGGAUUUAUUGGGUUUAAAGGGUGCGUAGGCGGUUUUUUAUGUUAGUGGUUAAACGUCGGGGCUUCACCUUGGUUUGCCUUUAACAUUGUUA
rnacentral:rRNA from 1 species